GCGCCGAUAGUCUAGUGGUUAUGAUCUGCCCUUCCCACCAUUUGAGACAGGGCAGGACCCGGGUUCGAACCCCGGUCGGCGCA
rnacentral:tRNA from 1 species